CAAACAACAAACAAACAAAACAAACAAACACACAAAAAACAUGGUAAAUGCAGCUUAUGGGGCACAGAAAUCAGCCUGAACUGAAUCCCACAACCUGAACAAAAAAGUGAGCACAGGCCUGCUGAUAACAAGAGUUCCAGCAGAAGCUGUGGAAGACUGAAAAAUGGCCCCAAAGAUACACAGAUUGAAACUGCUUCAAACUUCAGCCAUUAUAACUGUAAAUAUAUUUGAAACCACAUUCCUUCAUCAGUCAAGUUUGAG